rnacentral:rRNA from 1 species
UACGGAGGGUGCAAGCGUUAUCCGGAAUCACUGGGCUUAAAGGGUGCGUAGGCGGUCAGAUAAGUCAGUUGUGAAAUACCCCGGCUUAACCGGCGGAACUGCGAUUGAUACUGUUUGACUUGAAUCAGGUUGAGGUAGGCGGAAUGUGGCAUGUAGCGGUGAAAUGCUUAGAUAUCGUCAAGAACACCUAUUGCGAAGGCAGCUUACUAAGCUUUAACUGACGCUGAUGCACGAAAGUGUGGGGAUCAAAUAGG